AGGCUGGCUGGCCAGGAAGCCACCGCCAGGAGGGAGCUGGGCAGACAGGGCCCAGAAGCAGGGCCGGCCUGGGGGUGGAGCCUGCACACUCUGCAAAGCUCCAGCCUGGCUCCACCCCUUCCCUGCCAGGAGCUGAAAAGGAUGACGUCACCCAGACUGAGGCCCUGGGCCGGGAUGGGCUCAUUAGCCGGGAAGCCGGCACCUGCAGGGCUCGAGGAUUUCCCGUGGUUGCCCCGUGAUGGAUCUUCGCUCGUCUCCUGAGGCCUGGUCAGCUCUAGGGGUCUCUGCUUUGGGGUCUUGGAGAUGGCGCCUGGCUAUUCAGACUUGAAGUCUGGGACACUGGUUCAUCACCAGAGACUAACGCCGCCGUGAGCAUCCUCCCCAAGCACGCAGCCCCUCCCCGUCCUGUGUCCGCGCCACCCCGCCCCCCCUCCGCCCAAUGCUCCUUUUCCGUGCUAGCGCUGGCGGCAGCUCCAUUUUUGUGAGGCUCCAUGGAGAAAGAUUAGAUCCCUAAUCUGACCAGGCAACAGUGAGCCCACAGCAAACCAGUGUCCCCCUUCCCUUGGGUCCAUGGCCCCUCCCCCACCCAAAACCCUGCUGGGUGCUUUGUGUUGCCGGCUUGCAGAGCAUAUGCUUGGCUGCUUGCUUUGUGUCUGCUGUUUAUCCCUCUCUUCCUACUUAACUUCUGUUUCUGCUUGGCCCAUCUGGCUCCUGUGGUACCUGCUUUUCACUCCCGUUGCGCUUCCCCUCCAAUGCGGCCUGCCCCCUAUUUACCACUUCCCUCCCAGGGCUUGGCUCUUGUCCACUCUGGGGCUGCUGGCAGGAGCUCUUGACCUGGAGUGUAGGAGCAGUGAGGGACUCCUCCAGCCUAUGGGACUGCCCAGAGGCACAGCUGGGGACCCUGACCUCGGGGUCACUGCGGUGUUCUGGAGACGCCCUUAGGGUGGGAAGUUGAGGCGGGUGGUGGAGGGCAGGUUGGGAGUGGCCUUUGGACUGGGGAGAGGGCUAGGUUCUGGUAGAAACCCUCCCCCGCCAUCUCCCCAGGUCCUUCUGAGCUUCCUUCCUACCAGAGGUGAUUCUUGGGGUCGGGUGGGGGUCACCCAAAUCAGAGUCUUGUAGAUACUGCUCUCUGUUCACGGCAGUGAUGGGAAAGUGACCUGUGAGUAGCAGCAGGAGAGGAUGAGGCCAGGGAAGGCCUGCAGUUCUGACCCAGAACCCCAGGGCACACAAGCUCCUUCCUGCUGAGAAGGGGCUGUGGCAGUCUGAUGGCUUGGGCAAAAGAGAAAAUGGUGGCAGCCUGAAGCUGCAGGAUGCUCACAGUGGGCUCAGAGGGGAGACAGAAAGGCCCUCUCCUUCACUAGCAGUGCUCUGCUGGGGGUCAGUCUCACCCCACACAUCACACUAGGCUCCACACUGCCUGAGUCAUUGCUCUGCCUCCUCCGCCCCCUCACCAGAUUGCACACUUGUGCAUACUUGCACACCCAGGUCAUGGCUCACACUCACCCCUCCAAUGUAGCCUGCUUCGUUCCUGGUGUGAUGUGGCAGCUCAUGGCUUCCUUGGGACUUGUGAGGGGGUGGUGGAGCCUGGAAGAGAAUGGAGGAGAAGAAAUGGGGCCCGACAGGGGCAGGGCUGUCAUUCAUCUGCCUCUCUGGACCUGGGUUGCUCCUCCAGGCUAAGGCUGGCUGCCGAGGAGGCAGAGCUGGGCCUGGAGUCAACAAGGAUCCACGUGCUUGGGGACCAUCGGCUGCUGCUCCCUGUAAGCAUCUGCUUCCCACGGAAACCUACAGGGCUUGGCUGCCAGGCCUCACUGCGUGCCCACUCCUCUGUGGCUCUGUUCUCUGUCUCGGUUGUUCCAUCUGCCCGCUCCACCAGCUCCUGGCACAGCUCUCUUGGCCUCGUUAUUUCUCUCCCAGAACCUUCUUCCUGCUCCUCAUUUCUUCCUGUCCUUUCUCCCUGUCUUUAUCCAGCCACAUUCAUGCCACUGUCCCUGAGGUCUUCCUCUUUUGUCUUUAUCCAUCAUUUUUCCUCUUGCUUUUCUGCUGUUUUUCUCCAUAUUCAUAUUCUCUGUCUCAUACAUAUUCAGUGGCUCCUUGAAAAUCCACCUAGAUUAUUCAAUGUGCUAGAAGCCUAGAUCUGCUUCAGGAAUAAAACUUCUUAGACUCUAACGCUAGGUCUCUGUCUCAGACACUAGUCUGGACUAAUUGCCUAGAACAUGUUGGUAGACCCACCUACCCUUCCACCCAAGUAUGCUCACUCUUUGCAAUGCCUCCUCUUCUGAUCUGGGACAAGGCAGCUGUGAGGUGUGCAGAAGCCAGACAGAUAAGCCACAGCACCUCGGUCAAGUGACACGGCAGGGGGUGCGGAGAGUCUGGGGCAAGAGUCUCCCUUUAAAGGGAUUUGAGGAGUUCAGUCCUGGAAAGAAACUUAGGACCCAACGUGUCCGAUCCUUGUGCUUGUACAAUCCUUUUACGUCCGCUCUGUUAUCCCCUUAUACCUCUCAUGGGAGGUUCAUAAAUAAGGAAACUACUGUCUUCGGACUAGAAGUUACUCCGCUGGCGCUCCCCAGCACCUGAGGAACAGAGCUGGAGUCAGAUUCUCCGCUUUGGGAUUUGCAGCCCUUGCCUGUGGCAGGUGAAUGAACAGAAGGAACUGGAAAAUGGCAGUUACAGGACAAGGAGAUGCGAGAGCUUCCCGAGGAAGCGGAGAUGAGGGAGCAGCGUUUGGAGAGGGCACAGUCUGCAGCGGGCCAGCUCGAGGACUGAGGCCCUGUCUCUGAGCUUCCCUGAUGACCCCUCCUUUGCACUCAGUCUUGCUUGGCACACCCACCUCUCUUUGCGUUUGAAGCUUCUGAGAACAAAGAAGACCAGGCAAUCUCUUCAAGAUGCCCCCCUGACUGUUUUGGCAGUGGAGUGGCCAGUGAUUCCUGCUGGGGGUCCUCUUCCUAUGGGAGCUUCCUGGGAGUCACCACCGGAAAACUAGAGCCCUGGGUCACAGAUGAGAUCCCUCUGCUUUCACACACAUGUUUUAAAAACAACGAUGCAAAGUGAUCAUCACAAUAGAUCCUGGGGUUCAGAGGAAAUUGAACUGCUGCUCUAAAACCUCGUGCUACAGGAUGCCUGGUGGUGGGGAGCACUUUUGGCCAUAAGAACCCUUAAGCCGAAAGCCCCAGACUGAGGCACGUGUUGUUUUGAGAGGUGAACAGGUCACCCCUGCAUGGUCUUAGGUCCCUCUGCUACCUGCUGGCACAUCAAUCAGAGAUGAGAUUUGCAGGCAGAGAGGUGCAAGUUCAAGUUUCAGCUUCACUACUUGAUUUGGGCAAGUGGUUUGACCUCUCUAAGCCUCAAUUUCCUAAUCUGUAAAAAGAGGACAAUACUUCACUCAGAAGGCUGCUUCAAAGAUUCACUUGAGAUAGGCACACCAUUUAAUCACCACCCAAUAAAUGGUAACAAGGAUGGUGCCUUUAGAUGAUGAUAAUGUUAAAUAGUACCUACAACUACACCAGUGAAUUGGUGGUCUUGACACUGUGGCAAGACUUUAACCAGCUUCAUUAACCUCUGACCUCAUCUGUCCCUUAGCCUCAUUUAAAUUAGACCCAGUGACCAGCAAUUCUCAAUCUCCAUCUCCAUCAGUCUCCAUCAGCCUGAGCUUCCACAGUCACAGCAUCUUCUGAAUGGUUCUACUGGAAGUGACCAGAUCCCACCUGGCUGCUGGCUCAUCUGAAACACAGCCAGUCUGCCUGAUCCUAAAGCUCAUGUUCCACACGGAGGAGGUUUUCAAAGGUGUUUCCCAAUCCCAAUGCUGGGGCUGGAUGUGGUGGAGCAGAAGCAGACGAGCCCUGAACUUGGUGCUGCCCCUCACCGAGUGUGGAGAAAUAAGAAAACCUGACAGGCGGAACCAGGCUUUGAUCAUGCAUUGUUGUCACAACGGAAUGGAUGCGUGACACGAAGAUGCCAAAAAAAUAAAGCAGUGAUUUCCCGACAGUUCCGUGAACUCUGUUAUGGAUCAGGAGACUGAGGCUACAGAGGAGAAGGGAACUGCUCACAGUGACCCCGCUGGUAAGAGGCUGAGCCUGGGAUGGAGCUCCAGUCUCCUGAUUCUCAGGCAGAAGUCAUCACUCAUGCCAGGCAGCCCACAUAGCCUCCAGCUUUACCAUGUUCCAAUGUGCUGAGAAGAAUAUGUGCAAAUAUGCAAACACUCUGCAGAUAUUCUGGCAACAAGAGACAGUCAGGCUCUCUGGGUUCUAGAGCAGGGACUGGCACAGCCAAGUUCCCGCUGCUGCUGUGUCUCCUUCCACUAGGGGAGGAACAACGGUCACAGCCAUGCCUGUGUUGGUAGUAAAGACCCACCAGACAACCUCUUGGUUGGGAGGUGGUGUGCAUGCCCUAGUGGUGGUGGGGGAAGUAGUAGGAUUAAAGGGUGCCUUUGUUGCCUGGCUAUAGGGAUCAGUACCCCAUAAGACUUUUAACCACAGCCCUGCUCAGACAAGUCUAAUAUGUUCUCUUUAGCUUACAGGAAACCACAAAGACAGGAAGAUGGCUCGAGACAUAUGGUGGAAACCAAUUAAAACCAGUUGAAGGCAACAUGGCAGUCUGAGUUGACCUGACAUAGACCCCGCAGCUCAUUAUACACUCACUGUGAUAUAUUACCAUGCUCCGUAACACACCCACCAAUGCCAUGACAGUUUGUAACCAAAUAAGGAAAGAAAAGAGGUGGCAUCCUUGUUCCCCUGAAAAGCCUGCCCAUUUCCCCAAAUAACUAUGAAUAUUCCUCCUCUUCAUUACCUUGACCCCUGAUAACAACUGCUUAAUGGCCCCAAGAGCUGAGAAGUUGGUUUGUUAACUUAAGUUCCCACUUCUCCAUUCAUGGCCAUUGAAUAAAGCUUGUUCUGUUGAAUGCUCAGCUUUGGUUUCGCUUCAAAUCCACGACACUGAACAGGAAAGACCCUUCUGAGGAAGGGAAGGAUUGUGGGUACAAGGCCCACCCAUGGGCCUCUGCUCAGAGCUCCUCUGAAUGUGGGUUGGAGUCCCACCGGAGUGAGGUGAAAUUGCUAACACUUUCCUCUUGCCAAAGAGAACUCCCUGCAAAGCAAUAAAAUGGCAGUGAGCUUUGAAGAGGGCUUUCUAACCACCAAGAAGCCAGUCCUGGAUUUUGAUGCUGUGUCAUUUAGCACAGUUCCUUUCCCACCAACUGUCUGCUAUGACACCAUGGAGCUAAGUAGCAGAGCUGCUGAAAUAACAGUCACGGGAGAGGGAAAUUAAGACACAUCAGCAAGGGAAAAAGAUUCUUUUAAGCAAGGAGGGGAAUAGGACAGCAACCGAUGAAACAGAAGCAAGAUGUCUGUUCCAGGUGGAGAGAGGCAGAGAAGUCUUUUGUGUGGCAGCUGAGUCAGAGAUGCAACAGAGAGUGCAACAGCCUGCAUUAACGUGGAGCUUAUCAUAAACAUUCACUUAUUGAUCACAUUGCCACCCUAUGCGAAGAGGCUCAUAGGAACCUUUAUUUGACUCUAGGGGGCUAAGCACAUGGCUUACGAGCUUGGAAGUUCUGACUCUUUAAUUUCAACAAGAGAAGGCUGGAGUGGAGGAGAAGAGAAAAGGCCACAGGGAGGGUUAAUUUGCCUGCUUGACGCCUGUCAUUUCACAUGUGAGAAAGAGUGGUGAGUUCUCAUAAGGAAGGGCAGACACGCAUCUAUUACUCCAUUACAAUGCUUUUUGACAAGGCUGUGCAUCUCAAGCCAAUGUAUUUGGUCCAAAGACACAGCAAUGGGUUUUCCAGGUGGAGGAGGGCAAUGUCGAGCAGGUACUUGGCACGAAUGUUUAAGUAGGGAACGGUUGUAAUAAGACCCCGCCGUGCUUUCAGCCCGAGUGACUGCUGCUCUGCAGCAGGAACAUCUAUCACUGGCAGGGAGCAGCGUGUCUACCUCCCUGUCACCUGCCUCAUGUCUAAAAGAGACACUAAAGAUCUGGCCACGGUGGGGUCCAUGUCUCCUGGCUCAUGUUGCGAUUUGUCUAGGAGCAUGAUGAAUAUGCACGUUUCCUCUGACAUAAUCUUUUCUCCUCCUUGGACAGGCAUCUACACAUGUCCCCUUGUCUCUCCCCAAGUCUCCAAAUGGAGGAAUGUUCUCAAAAGAAGGUCUUGAUUCUCGCUGUACUUUCUUCUCUCUGUCCUCCUCCUUUCUUCCCCAACCCUCACCCUUUCCAGUAACCCCCACGGAGUGAAAGUCUCCCUGUCAGUCUGAUAGCCACUGUUAACAAGGGUGUUCUGUGAGCCUGCAUGCUGCCUGGCCAUGAUCUAUUCUUCUUUGUGCAUCAGAGGGGUCCAAGACUCCCCCACAGGUAAUUGAGAAAAUUGACGUGCCCGUUACUAGUGAUGUGAACUUACAAACCCUGGGACUCACUGAUUAGAAUCAAAUUCUUCUCAAGCUGGAUGACCUUCAGAAUUACACAAUGUUAGAGCUUGAAAGGGUCUUAAAGAUUUUCACCUAAACUCCUUCUUUAAUAGAAGAGGAACCUGAAGUGCAGAGACGUGACAGGAAUUGUCACUUAAAGUUACUCCUUCCUCAACGUUCUUCCCACUACUCCAACUCAUCUUUACCUCACUCUACCCUCACUCGUAGGUAGAACUGCUUUUAAGCCAUCUCUCCUCUUUCUAAACCUCUUAUAAGGGAAAGUGGUUUUAAGCUUGGUAUGUAGAAGAUGAUCAAAGCAUCACUUAAUCUCUUAAGACAGGACAUGCUAUCCUAACAUCAGGAAAGUCUUUCCAUCUAACUUUUAUUUGUUUUGCUGCCAUGUUUCCUAAACUUUUUCAGUAAAUAGAGAGGAGAGGAGUCCCACCCUUAUGUAUUUUCCCAUAGGUGUCAAAUAGGCAAAUUUAUCCUCCCUGUGGUCUUGUCUCUUCUCCUCUGGUCUUGCCUUUUCUUGUUGAAGUUAACAAAUCAUAACUUCCACAUGCAUAGGCCGUAUUCUUAGCCUCCUAAAGUCAAAUAAAGGUUAGUCCAUUGGAGAACUGACUCUUUGCCUAAUGACAAAAAAGUAAUAUCGAUAAAAGCUUUCUCUUUUAUUUCAUGCCAAAGUUCAGGUUGAUUUAUAGGCUAGAUCCAGCCUGGCUUCUGGCACUCAAGCAUGUCAGAGAGGAAAACUGGGACAGAGAGCAAAAUAGAGAGCCUCAUAAGUGGGGGCUGUAGAAUAAACAUGUAGUAGGCAAGUUUCGGGAGAGCUCCCCAAUUUUGUACUCUGUAGUUCUUGAUAUGUGCCCAUAAGCAUCUUAAAAAGCAUUUGAGAAACUGCCAAAAAGCCAAGCUAAAAAUACCCUUGGAACAGCGUAAUCAAGAAGAAGUACAGAGAUGGGUGUGAGCUCUCCAUGGAAGGUGUGAGACUCAGAGCAUGGGAGCCAGACUGCAGUGCACAUCUCAGGCUCUUGUCUAGGGGACUGAACCAUGAGGCAGUCUGAUGUGCUUGGGGAGGAAUGGAUGCAUCUGCUUUCAGACUCUGUUUUCUUUUUGAAUCAGUCCAGCCCAAUAGUGUAGCAAGCGUGUCUAAUGAGCACCUAUUAUGUGCCUUAGGAUUAAAAGUGUGAAAACACACCCACUCCUCAGGAGAGUUUGAAACCUUCUGAUGACUCCCCAUUGCCCUUUGUAACACUUAUAAUUUGGCUUGAAUGGCUUCUGGGUUCUCUGUCUAACUCAGUUUCAGGAUCCUACUUCUUCUAACACUUAAUCAUGUGUCUCUGACAAAUAUUUUCUCUAAUCUUCUUUUUCCAGUUAUGAACCUUCUGUUCCCAAUUAUUGGGAACAUUUUACCGUCAGCACAUUCCCUCCCUCUCUCCUGGGGCUUCCACCAGUAGUUUAAAAAUACUCAGACUCUUGCUUUCUGGGAAUAGGAUCCCACUUCUUUAACCUUUCUACCCAAGAUAUUUCCAAACUUCAUAAGCCUUCCCUCAAGCUUCUCUUAACUUGGGGAGCAAAGAAUUGGCCAGAAGAGUGAUGGUGAGUGUGGGACAGUCUUGCUUUCUGAGGGUACACCCAGGACUGUGUUUUCCAUGUUGAUGGAAAACAUGUUGAAUCGUGUACUUGUUCGUAUUUUUAAAUAAAAAUUGUUAUUUGAGACAAAGACUUGUCUUGAGGAAUCUAUAGUCUAAAGACAGACAUCACGACAUGGGCAACCAUCCACAGGACACAAAGAACCAAGUUUUAAAAAGUAACUUGAGGCAUUAAGUGUUUAUAUCAUGCAUAGAUCAAGGUAAGUGUUUUUGUCACCCUGAUAUAAUUUGGUUAAUCUGUCCCUGGCUGUUCUCUCAGGAAACUCUCCCUCCCUUGUACCCUAAAUUAUUUUCAAAGUCUGUUCCUUUUAAAGGACAGAGGUACAGACCCAGGUGACCUUCUGAUUGUAGAAUCUUGCUGCUGAUUUGUAAGAGAUGUCGAUUUGAUGCUGAUUUGUGAGAGAUGGAUUGAGCUGGAGGUCAUAAAGUGAUCAAGAGUACUGAGUGUUAUUGAUGAACUUUUGG
rnacentral:lncRNA from 1 species